CCUUAUCUACUAGGUACCUACUUUAUCUACUUAUUACAAGGUACCUAGCUACUUGAAUUUUUCAUUAUCAACGAACGUGCUAAAAACACCGAAAAAAAGUCGUUCGGUUCUGACAAAAUGUGAACACUUCAAAGUUCAAUGUUAUACAGUACUUAUUGUUAGUUGAAACAAAUACGUGUUGAAAGAUUAGUUAUUCUCGUGUUUUUUUGGUUAAAUUACCCAAUACCUACUUCGCAAUGCAGAUCACUUAUUGGACUGGUAUCGUCAUCGUAACGAUUUUAAUCGUCAGCCAAAUAGUAAUGGCAAACGCGGGUAGUGAUAGGCCCUGCCAAGCGGUUGGACGAUAACUACAUUCACGUAAGCAAUAAAAAAUGAAAAAAUAUACGUACCUACUUACCUAGUACCUGCCUACUUGUAGAGAAACCAUUUCAAAAAAAAAUAUUGUUCGCAAAUAAACUGGGAAUUUUUCAACAGAUACAUGAGUAAGCUGUAAUAUGUACUUGGCAAAAUUGCACUGUUUGUAGGUCUAGGGUCUCCAAUAAUAUUGGACAUGGCUGGUGAGGAUUUUCUUGGGUUUGCACUAUUCGCAGUAUUGAAUCAGUGUAUUUUGAUUUGGCUCAGCGUCGCUAACGUACAAAAAUUCUCGCCAGCAAUGCCCGAUAUUAUUGGGGACCUUAUAGAUCUUUUGUACACCCAUAUUUUACCAUUAUUGUAUCAGUAGGUAAUUUUAAUAAAAAUUCAUACCAUA